CUGGCUCAGGAUGAACGCUAGCUACAGGCUUAACACAUGCAAGUCGAGGGGCAGCAUGACGAUAGCUUGCUAUUGUGAUGGCGACCGGCGCACGGGUGCGUAACACGUAUCCAAUCUACCCGGGUACUCGGGGAUAGCCUUUCGAAAGAAAGAUUAAUACCCGAUACUGUUGGAUCUCCGCAUCGGACGGUCCAACCAAAGAUUUUCAUCGGUGCCGGAUGAGGAUGCGUCUGGAUUAGGGUAGAUGGCGGGGUAACGGCCCACCAUGCCGACGAUCAGUAGGGUUCUGAGAGGAAGGUCCCCCACAUUGGAACUGAGACACGGUCCAAACUCCUACGGGAGGCAGCAGUGAGGAAUAUUGGUCAAUGGACGCAAGUCUGAACCAGCCAAGUAGCCGUGAAGGACGACGGCCCUACGGGUUGUAAACUUCUUUUUGUACGGGAAUAAAGUGAGGCACGCGUUGCCUUUUUGCAUGUACCGUACGAAUAAGCAUCGGCUAAUUCCGUGCCAGCCGCAGC
rnacentral:rRNA from 1 species